rnacentral:rRNA from 1 species
AGCGAACGCUGGCGGCAGGCCUAACACAUGCAAGUCGAACGAACUCUUCGGAGUUAGUGGCGGACGGGUGAGUAACACGUGGGAACGUGCCUUUUGGUUCGGAAUAACUCAGGGAAACUUGUGCUAAUACCGAAUGUGCCCUUCGGGGGAAAGAUUUAUCGCCAUUGGAGCGGCCCGCGUCUGAUUAGCUAGUUGGUGAGGUAACGGCUCACCAAGGCGACGAUUAGUAGCUGGUCUGAGAGGAUGACCAGCCACACUGGGACUGAGACACGGCCCAGACUCCUACGGGAGGCAGCAGUGGGGAAUCUUGCGCAAUGGGCGAAAGUCUGACGCAGCCAUGCCGCGUGAAUGAUGAAGGUCCUAGGAUUGUAAAAUUCUUUCACCGGGGACGAUAAUGACGGUACCCGGAGAAGAAGCCCCGGCUAACUUCGUG